GGCGUGUCGUCAGCAGUCGUGCUCCGAGGACUGAAAAUCCCCGUGUCGGCGGUUCAAGUCCGCCCCUGGCCACCA
rnacentral:tRNA from 1 species